AAUGAACGCUGGCGGCAGGCCUAACACAUGCAAGUCGAACGGGUCCUUCGGGACUAGUGGCGGACGGGUGAGUAACGCGUGGGAACAUACCCAAAGGUACGGAAUAGCCUCUGGAAACGGAGAGUAAUACCGUAUGUGCCCUUCGGGGGAAAGAUUUAUCGCCUUUGGAUUGGCCCGCGUUGGAUUAGGUAGUUGGUGGGGGAAUGGCCUACCAAGCCGACGAUCCAUAGCUGGUUUGAGAGGAUGAUCAGCCACACUGGGACUGAGACACGGCCCAGACUCCUACGGGAGGCAGCCGUGGGGAAUCUUAGACAAUGGGGGAAACCCUGAUCUAGCCAUGCCGCGUGAUCGAUGAAGGCCUUAGGGUUGUAAAGAUCUUUCAGAUGGGAAGAUAAUGACGGUACCAUCAGAAGAAGCCCCGGCUAACUCCGUGCCAGCCGCCGCGGUAA
rnacentral:rRNA from 1 species